UUUUGUUUUGAAGUCAGUAUUCUUAUUUCAUUUGCUUCUUAUUAAAACUAAUAACCAAUAAAAUUUUCGGCUGAUUUAAUCGGAAAGAAAAUUCAAUAUUUUUUGUUCCUAAUACAAUAUUUUAUAAUCAGGAUCUUAUAAUGUAUACACCCAAAACUAGAUACGAAGAUUUUUUAAAAGGAGAGCAAGAAAAAUAUCCAGAAUUAAACUUAGAAGAUAUUGACGCUUUGAAAGCUCUCGUAAAGGCAAACGAUAAAUUACCAGCUGUUACGAAUAGAGAAAUAAUUUUGUUUUUGCAUAGUUCUUAUUUCAAUGUAGAAAAAGCAUACGCUGUACUCGUCAACUACUUCAAAUAUAGGAAGGAUAUUCCACAAAUAUUCACUAGAGUUGAUCCGUUGUCAGAUGAUAUGAAAGAUAUGUUUGAAACUAUGAGUUUCCCUAUAAUAUCGGCUCCAUAUAAAGGUAAAGAAGAUAGAUAUGUAUAUACUAACUUUAAAAAAACUGAUGCUAAAUAUUUUGAUUACGUGAAAAGUGCACAAUUAUUUUUUAUGGUGAUGGAUGCUUUAAUUAUACAGCACGGGACGUUCGAAGGAGUGAUUCUUACGAUGGAUGCCAAACACCUCAACUGGAGACAUUUAACAAAAAUUCCUAUGACUUUGGCAAAACGUCUUAUGGAAUUUGUACAAGAUGGAUUACCUAUAAGGUUAAAGGCAGUACAUAUUGUAAACGCGGGUUCACUCGCUAUAACGUUAUUUAAUUUAUUAAAACCGUUUAUGAGAAGCCAUUUUUUAGAUAUAGUUACUUUACAUUCCGUAGGAUCAACUGAAGUAUUUAAAUACGUUCCACUUGAGUAUAUGCCUGAGGAAAUGGGUGGCCAAGGGAAAAGUCACAUUGAAUAUUUUGAUGAAACUUAUGAAUUUAUGUGUUUAUAUCGUGAUUGGCUAUUAAACUUUAACGAGUAUCCUAAAGAUUAAAAAGAACAAUAAGGAGUAUAGAAAAAUGACUACACCCGCCAAAUUUUAUGUACAAUACUCAAAAUGUUAAUUUUUGAAUAAACUUAUAAAUAAUGGUUACUAAACAUAAAAACGGUAGCACAGUAGAGUGGCGACGCAGUGUGGACGUGGCAUAGAUGUAUAGAUGUUAUCUUACAUAGAUAUAGAAUAUUCCUUGGAAACAGUGUGAAAUAUGAAAUGUGAAAUGUUAAAAGGACAUUAGAGAGGCGGCGGCAUAUUAACCCAACGAAACCCAACUAUGACGUGUAUGCCUUUGACCAUAGAGGGCCCCCCUUCCUUGACUAACGUAUGUAUUAAACAGUAGACCAACGGUUUACUCCUACACAGAAGAAAGGCGAUAUGUAAUCAUACUCAUCACAAGGUGAUUAUUAUUAUGAUAUUAAAGUAAACAAAUAAAUAUGUACAAUAUUUAACUAUUUCAUAAGAAUUUAGUUUAAAGAAAAUUAAUUAAAACCAAAUUUAGUUAAAAAGAAUAUAUUUGUACGUUAGAAGUAAUAUUUUAUCAAAUUCUUUUUGAUUAUUCAGUUACAUUAAUGCGUUUGUUAAUAUACAUAUUUUGUUAAUGUUUGAUUAGUUGAUUAUUAUUAUAAUAACCAUAUAGUUCUACUAUAUGAAAUCUCUUGUUUAAAAUGUAACUAUGAAUACAUUUUAAAGUUUAAGAAUGUUAUAACAUUAUAACUAGUCUUUAUAUUAUUCAAUUCUUUUACUUUUGGGUAUUCUUUAAAGAAACUUCUACUAAUGAGUCAAUGCAUUAACGCAUGUACAUUAGUUAGUGAUACUAUAUGUUAUACCUUUGCAAAAUACCAUACUUAGUUCGUUAAGUGAGGAGUCUAAAAGGACAAGGAAAGGGACAAAAAUUUAUAUGUAAGAAUUACCCAAUAAGACAUUUAACAUUUUGUACAAGUGUAAUUCGUGUUUCUUAACUUGUUUAGUUAACAUUUGUUAUUAACUGUACUUGAAACAUUAUAUACAUUUUAAAUAAUCUACAGUUAACUUCAAUCUUUAUUCACUAUUUUUUCAAAAUCGGUAAAAAUUCAUCAAUGUGGUACUUGUGGUAAAUCAUUUUCAAGUGUUAGCAAUCGUAAACUGCAUAUGAAAAUUUAUAGUGAUGCGCGAAUUAGUUGUAAUGUAUGUACAAAAAAAUUUACAAGAAAGAGCUUUUAAUAAGACAUCAGAAAUUGUUACAUGAUGAAACCCGUCCAGUACAAUUGAAUGUAACUAAAAGAAAUGUUGUAAACCCCAAUAUGAAUAAGCCGUUGCAAAGUGUUACUAUACCUGAUUGUAAACCAUCAACAUCGACUAACGUAAAAAAAGGCAAGAAAAAUGAUUUUAUUAUUAUUAUUAUUAUUAAGCACAGUAAAUAUUACAACUCGCCUAAACGUCAUAACCGAUUUUUCAUAAUUUUAUGAUUUUAUUAAAACAAUUACAAUUUAAAAGCUAAUUUCUUAAAAUUUAUAUUAUUAAUUAAGUACAGUACAUAUUACAAGUUGCCCAUACACCAUGCACGAUUUUUUCAAAAUUUAUAAUACUUAGGAAAAAUGUUUUUUAAUUAUAACUUUAGUUUAUUUUUUUAAAGUAUAUCAUUAUAUAACAAAAUAUAUUAAUUAAGAAUGGCUAACGCACAUUUAUCAGAUGAAAAAAGAAAACAUGGGAUUGACUCUUGUUGGGGUGGUGAAGAAGAGGAUAAUCUUUGCUUACUAGCAGACUCUAGGGGGAAAAAGACAAAGAAAUUUCAACUCGAUAAUUUAAAUGUUAGUGGUUUUAAUUUGAUAAAACAGGCAUUUGAAGGGUUGCAUAAAACUUAUUAAAAAAAAUAAAUAAAUAAAAACGGGGACUUAACUAUGAAGCGUUUUCAGAGGAAAUAAGGCCUGAACUAAUUGAACUGCUGCAACGUCUCUUAACCGAUAGUCCUAUUAAGUACAGUUUAAAACUAGAAUCCACGUACGUCAUUCCUAACAAAGCUGAAACCAAAGAAGAUAGAUCCUUUAAAACUACACAGCGAAAUUUGUUCAUGUCUAGUUCAAUACACGAAUCUCUUAAUGAAGAAUUCAAUAAACUUAUUUUAGAGCAAGAGGAAUAUCUAGGAAAAGGUAGUGGAUUUACAUUAAAUCGAAUUGAUGGUAUUAUAUUGUACACCGAUAAAUAUACACCAUUUGGAGGUGGUAGUUAUUUACCACUCCCUAAAAAAAUAGAAAUAAAUUUGCAAUAAUUAACGUGAAAAAUUCAGAAAACAAGUGUUUCAUUUACAGUAUUAUAUCUAAAUUUAUUAUCUCUCCAAACGCUUCACGUAUGACUGUUCAACAAAAACAUCUGGAAAAUCUAAUCAUAGGUACAGUUUCUCUGGUUUAACUAUGCCGAUGGCCCUUGAUGAAAUCUCGAAAUUUGAGAAAUAAAAUGAAGGAGUUCCAGUUAACGUUUACGGGUUAAAAAAGGGUAUUGCCACAUACAAAAAAAAUCGUGCUCGAGUGAAUAAAAAUAUUAUUUUACCUCUAAGAGUGUGCAAAGAUGAAAAACCUGAUCACUUUGAUCUUUUAAUGCUGAAUAACGAUCAAGGUAUUUUUCAUUACUGUUUUAUUACUGAUUUGUCAAGAUGCUUUUAAUUAUACACUUCAAAGCCCAACAAGCCUAGCAAAGAGGAGCUUCUACGUUGACAUAAAGAAAGAUGUACAGUAAACGAACUUAUAGCUCAUGUUAUGCUCGAACGUGAUAUAUUCAUCAAGUUUGAAAACUGGGGGGGGGGGAUACACAACGUCAUCCAGUGGUUAUCUAUGUUGAUUUUAAAGCUGUACUAUUCAAGAAUAACAAUGAAGACACUCAAGAAAUAUUGAACACUAGAGUAACACAUGAUCACGAACACUUGCGUUACUGUUUUUAUGUUAAAACUAGGGAUGAUAUAACAACAAGUUUGGUAGAACAGUUCUCAAUUCCAACGAAUCCAGUAUUAUACAGAGGUGAUGACUAAGGAGAAAAGGAAGAUUUUGCCAAAAAUUUUAUCGAGAAAAUUGUAGAAAUGGCUAAAAAUAUUGGAGAAAUGUUAAAAGUUAACUCUCUUAUGACGUUCAAUCAAUCUGAUGCAAAAAAACAUAAUGAGAUCAUUAACACAAAGUUCAUGUUUUUUAUGUUUCAGUAAGUUCUCUACAAAGAAUCAUCCAGUACGUGAUCAUAAACAUUUAACAUCCAAAUAUAGGCAAACAUAUUGUAAAAAUGCAACUUUAAGUAAAAGUCUCCUAAAUUUGUCCCUUGCUUUUUUUACAACUUAUCUAACUACGACGGUCAUUUCAUUGUAACACAGCUUCAAUACGACUAUAAACCCAUAACUGUUAUACCUAACACCAAAGUAAAGUUAAUUUCUUUCUCAAAAUUGUUAUGAAGGACUUUCACAUAAGAUUUGUCGAUAGUAAUAGAUUCAUGGCAUCUAGUUUGUCUAAACUAACGGAAAACUUGGCUAAAGGUGACAUUGGAAAAUUCAAAGAUAAGACAAAACAUUUUCCAAAUUCAAAUAUCAAUCUUAUUACUCAUAAAGGUGUUUACCCUUACGAAUAUACAGAUUCGUUUGAAAAAUUGAACGAAAUAGCGUUGCCAUCCAUAAAUGAUUUUUAUAGUUCUCUGAAUGAAAGUCAUAUAACCGAAGAGGACUAUAAACAUGCACAAAAAGUUUGGGAUCACUUCGGAUGUGCAACGCUCGUACAGUACAGUGAUUGGUAUUUGAAAUUGGAUGUGAUAUUGCUGUGUGAUGUCUUUGAAUCAUUUAGAGAUGCAUGUAUCAAAAUAUAUGGACUUGAUCCCAAUUAUUAUUACACUGCACAAGGCAUGUCGUUUGACUGUAUGUUGAAACAUACAAAAGUUAACUUAGAAUUUUUGCAUGAAUACGAUAUGUUGAUGAUUGAAAUGGUAUACGAGGAGGUUUGACGACAGCAGUACGCAAAUAUACCAAAGCUAAUCAUGUUGGACUUGCCGACUAUGAUGUCAAUAUACCAGAUGGUUAGAUCAUUUAUCUUGGUGCUACAAAUCUGUAUGGAUGGGCCAUGUCACAGUACCUACCUAAAAACAGAUUCAAAUGGAGUGAAAAGAAUUUAAGUGUUCCAGCAGUUUUAAAUCUCUUGGAAGAAACUUCAGUUGAUUUGAAAAAAAGGAAUGAUAUUAGAAGUUGACAUUUCAUACCCUGAACACUUACAUAAUAAUCAUAACGAUUUACCAUAUCUUCCAGUUAAGGAAGUACCUAAAGGUUCUAAAUUUCUAAAGCUUUUGACUACCUUAGAACAUAAAAAAAUUACAUUGUUCGUUACAAUUCGCUGAAACAGGCAUUACAGGCAGAACUGAUGUUAGAAAAAGUACACAGAAUAAUAGAUUUCAAUCAAUUCCCUUGGCUAGCAAAUUAUAUAUCGUUGAAUACACAAUUUCGUUCGUUAGCCAAAAAUGUGUUCGAAAAGGAUUUUUAUAAACUAAUGAACAAUUCAGUAUUCGGAAAAAUUAUAGAUGUACGAUUACGAAUGAAAAUGGAACUUACAAGCAAUGAAUUAAAGUAUAGAAAAUUUGUUAAUCUACCGAACCAUAGAGGUGCAACUAUUUACAAUAACAAUUUGUGCACAAUAAACCUUCAUAAGGAUGAUAUAAUAUUUAAUAAGCCUAUGUAUAUAGAAUUUGCGGUAUUGGUCAUAUCGAAAACUCUGAUGUACGAUUUUCAAUAAGGAACUAUGAAAGCUUUGUAUGGUGAAAAUAUAGAACUUUUAUACAUGAACACAAUUCAUUGAUAUAUUUAGUAAAAACUAAACAUUUAAUGAAGAUGUAUCCAAAACUCCAGAUUUUAAUGAAAAGCUGGAUACAUAAAAUUACUCCUCUGAUCAUCCAUGCAUUCGCACUGAACCUUGUAAGAUUCCGGGUACUUUUACGGACGAAACCGCUGAGGAAUUUAUAUCUGAGCAUAUAGCCUUAAGAUCUAAGGCAUAUGGAUAUGUUUAGAACUCUAAAGAGUGUAUCAAAACAAAAGGAGUAGCAUGUCAUGCUGUCAACAAUUAUAUCAGAUUUGAAAUUUAUAAGCAGUGUCUCUUUCAAGGAAUAGAAGAUAUUCCAAAAGAUUAUAUUCGAUAUAGACAAAUGAACUCAUUCAGAUCUUACAAGCAUGAAAUCAAAUCUAUUACUAGUACAAAUAUUGCAUUAAAUAUAUUUGAUGACAAUCGCAUUGUAAUGAAAGAUCAAAUUCAUACGUUAGCAAACAGACACUACAAAAUUGAGUGAAGUUAACAGUCAUUAAUGAAAUUAAUAAUAUGUAUGUAAUAUAUAUGUAUUUUAAUUUACAAAUUUAUUUAUUUAUUUUUUUAGGGAUUUGAGACAACAAGGUGGUUUUUUCAACUUAAAUAUUUAAUCAUACUUUAUGUAAAAUAUUUCUAUUACUGUCCACUGUGUAAAUAAUUUGUUUAUUACUCGUAAACGUUAACAGUAAU